rnacentral:rRNA from 1 species
ACUCGUGUAGCAAUACAUGGGUGGGGGAAGUGGCGAAAGGGGCAGUAAUGCGUGGGUAACCUACCUCUGGGACGGGGAUAGCCUUUCUAACGAAAGGGUAAUACCCGGCGAGCUGAUCGGGAGGCAUCUUCUGGUCAGGAAAUGAGUUUCGCCUGGAGAGGGGCUCACGUGAUAUUAGCUUGUUGGCGGGGUAACGGCCCACCAAGGCAAAGAUGUCUAGCGGGUGUGAGAGCACGACCCGCGCCACUGGCACUGAGACACUGGCCAGACUCCUACGGGAGGCUGCAGUCGAGGAUCUUCGGCAAUGGGCGCAAGCCUGACCGAGCGACGCCGCGUGUGCGAUGAAGGCCUUCGGGUUGUAAAGCACUGUCGAGGGGGAGGAAAGCCCGCAAGGGUCUGACCUAUCCCUGGAGGAAGCACGGGCUAAGUUCGUGCCAGCAGCCGCGGUAAGACUAACCGUGCAAACGUUGCUCGGAUUCACUGGGCUUAAAGGG